rnacentral:rRNA from 1 species
AGUAACGCCUGCCCUGUGGAACCCUAAACGGCCGCGGCACUAAAACCGUGCAAAGGUAGCACAAUCACUUGUCCCUUAAAUGAGGACCCGUAUGAAAGGCAACAUGAGAGAAGACCUGUCUCCUAAGAUCCGCCAAUGAAAUUGAACUCCCAGUACAAAAGCUGGUAUAAACAAGCAAGACAAAAAGACCCUGUGGAGCUUUAACAAAUUAUCUACAUGAAAUUAGACAAUAGUUUCAGUUGGGACAACUCUAGAGAAAAUAAACCUCUUAAAUUACUAAGACCAACAAGUCUAACCACACCACUACGAUCCAGUCAAACUGACUAACGAAACAAGCUACCCCAGGGAUAACAGCGCCACCUUCUCAAAGAGUCCAUAUCAACAAGAAGACCUACGACCUCGAUGUUGGAUCAGGGUACCCUGACGGUGCAACCGCUGUCGAUGGUUCGUUUGUUCAACGACUAACACCCU